rnacentral:rRNA from 1 species
UACAGAGGUCCCAAGCGUUGUUCGGAUUCACUGGGCGUAAAGGGUGCGUAGGUGGGCAGGUAAGUCAGUGGUGAAAUCUCCGGGCUUAACCCGGAACUGCCGUUGAUACUAUUUGUCUUGAAUAUUGUGGAGGUAAGCGGAAUAUGUCAUGUAGCGGUGAAAAUGCUUAGAUAUACAUAGAACACCAAAUUGCGAAGGCAGCUUACUACACAACGAUUGACGUGAGGCACGAAAGCGUGGGGAUCAAACAGGAUUAGAAA